rnacentral:snoRNA from 1 species
ACCGACAUGAUUAAAUACAAAGAUGUACUCUGAGGUGUACAUGCAGGACAAAAAUUAUCAAUAGGAAUUCUUCGUUUAUGAUUUGUCGGU